GGUGGGGGAGGGAAAGGGGCGUGGAAUAAGCAACAACAUCACAGGGUAAUGCAGCUUCCCAGCAUGCCAUUAAUCUCCGUCUGUGGACCGUCUGACCGUCACCCAGGGCUGCCUUCAUCCGUCCUGUCACCCGAAGCGGGACUCCGUGUCGGACCGGCUGGGUCUGGACUCUGGGUGUCUCCGGUAGCGGGAUGAGAGCGACAUAGUGAUAAAGGAGCGUCUCCUCCUCGUUCUUUCUCCCUCUGAGCAGAAGCGGAGCUCGGCUCCUACCGGCGGAGAUAUGAGGAACCCACUGGCCGAUGUCGCCCUGACAUUCUGGCUUUUUCUAGAGUGUGUUGAAGCCAAAAAGUACUGCUGGUAUUUUGAAGGCGGAUACCCCAUCUACUUCAUACCCUCUGUUUUGUGCUCCUGCCUCUGUAGAUUUAUGCAGUCAUCGAGUUUGGAAUAACUGCACAUUUUCUCUCAAGCUGAAAUUGGCCGCUGUUGAUGCUGUGCAGGUAGCAUACACUCUUAUUUUCUUAGAGGUUGAUAAGCUGUGACACACAACCACCCACCUGUUUUUAUGCACAUUUUCAAUUUGUGCAUCAGAGCCUGAGUAGAAACACUGGAAAUAUUGGAAAAAACUGUUUUUGAGCUUGGCUGAGGUGGUGAGUUGGUGUAUAGAGAAAAAGAAAAUCGAAACAACUUAAUGAAUAAAUGAUGAGGAUGACUUAAACAUCACUCAAGCUUCCAGUGAAGAGUUGAAUGUGAAUCAAAUGUGUGUGGACCAAUGAGGAGACUGUAACCUUCCUACAUCAAUCCACAAAGCAAACAGAAAGGUGAU
rnacentral:lncRNA from 15 species